rnacentral:rRNA from 1 species
AAGAGUAACUGCNUGCACCUNGNCGGUACCUAACCAGAAAGCCACGGNNAACUACGUGCCAGCAGCCGCGGUAAUACGUAGNNGGCNAGCGUUGUCCGGAAUUAUUGNGCGUAAAGGGCUCGCAGGCGGUUUCUUAAGUCUGAUGUGAAAGCCCCCGGCUCAACCGGGGAGGGUCAUUGGAAACUGGGAAACUUGAGUGCAGAAGAGGAGAGUGGAAUUCCACGUGUAGCGGUGAAAUGCGUAGAGAUGUGGAGGAACACCAGUGGCGAAGGCGACUCUCUGGUCUGUAACUGACGCUGAGGAGCGAAAGCGUGGGGAGCGAACAGGAUUAGAUACCCUGGUAGUCCACGCCGUAAACGAUGAGUGCUAAGUGUUAGGGGGUUUCCGCCCCUUAGUGCUGCAGCUAACGCAUUAAGCACUCCGCCUGGGGAGUACGGUCGCAAGACUGAAACUCAAAGGAAUUGACGGGGGCCCGCACAAGCGGUGGAGCAUGUKGUUUAAUUCGAAGCAACGCGAAGAACCUUACCAGGUCUUGACAUCCUCUGACAACCCUAGAGAUAGGGCUUUCCCUUCGGGGACAGAGUGACAGGU